CAAACACAAACAACAUGUAAAAUUACUGUCAGCACAUGAGUACGUCGAGCCUUGAAACUGCCACGAAAAAACUGUGUAAAAUCUGAUUUAGUGUGUUUGAUAUUACUUCGUAAUUAACAAUCUAACCGUUUCUUUAACGGCUGUCAGGCAGCGAAAAUAUGAGUCGGACAAAAGGAAAAGCAGAAGUUCGUUGGACUCAGCAGCAACAGCAGAAUCGUAGACAGAACUUCUUGAAGGCGGCACCCAUCCUCAAAAUACAAAACUAGAAGAUGGAGAAAAAAAGGUCCAGGUCCACUCCAGGUGUUAAAAAACACAUCUACCCCUCUCCUAGAGACUAAAGCUGUCAUUAAUAGAGGAAUCUGCGAGUAUGUGUACCUGACAAACAGACACUGUCCUGUUCCACUGCACCAUCUUCUCCGGCUGCAAAAUUACCUCCUGAUACACCAGCUCUGCGGCACACUGCAAGAGUGCCUAAAACACCCAAAACACAGGCCACCUGGAUGUUCUUCAGCAGCACUGGAGCAGAGUUCACAGUGCUCUGGAGGAAGCAAAGUGUUCUUUGGCAAAUCCUCCUCCACAACGUGAGUGGUGUUUGGAGUCGAUGUUGGAGUCCUUAUAUCAGCCGGAGGACGGAGAGGGGCGGAGCUCAGAGAGAGGAUGGUACACUCGUGUGUUUUAGGGGGGUGUGCUGA